GGGGGGAGUAACAUCCGGAAACGGGUGCUAAUACCGCAUAGUUUUCUUGGUCGCAUGAUCGGGAAAGGAAAGACGGCCUUUGUGCUGUCGCUUAUGGAUGGACCCGCGGCGUAUUAGUUAGUUGGCGAGGUAACGGCUCACCAAGACGAUGAUACGUAGCCGACCUGAGAGGGUGAUCGGCCACAUUGGGACUGAGACACGGCCCAAACUCCUACGGGAGGCAGCAGUAGGGAAUCUUCCGCAAUGGACGAAAGUCUGACGGAGCAACGCCGCGUGAGUGAAAAGAAGGUUUUCGGAUCGUAAAACUCUGUUGUCAGAGAAGAACAAGUUGGAGAGUAACUGCUCCAGCCUUGACGGUAUCUGACCAGAAAGCCACGGCUAACUACGUGCCAGCCGCCGC
rnacentral:rRNA from 1 species